rnacentral:rRNA from 1 species
UAACACGUGAGCAACCUGCCNUGGACUCUGGGAUAAGCGCUGGAAACGGCGUCUAAUACUGGAUAUGAGCUCUCAUCGCAUGGUGGGGGUUGGAAAGUUUUUUCGGUCUGGGAUGGGCUCGCGGCCUAUCAGCUUGUUGGUGAGGUAAUGGCUCACCAAGGCGUCGACGGGUAGCCGGCCUGAGAGGGUGACCGGCCACACUGGGACUGAGACACGGCCCAGACUCCUACGGGAGGCAGCAGUGGGGAAUAUUGCACAAUGGGCGGAAGCCUGAUGCAGCAACGCCGCGUGAGGGAUGACGGCCUUCGGGUUGUAAACCUCUUUUAGCAGGGAAGAAGCGAGAGUGACGGUACCUGCAGAAAAAGCGCCGGCUAACUACGUGCCAGCAGCCGCGGUAAUACGUAGGGCGCAAGCGUUAUCCGGAAUUAUUGGGCGUAAAGAGCUCGUAGGCGGUUUGUCGCGUCUGCUGUGAAAUCCCGAGGCUCAACCUCGGGCCUGCAGUGGGUACGGGCAGACUAGAGUGCGGUAGGGGAGAUUGGAAUUCCUGGUGUAGCGGUGGAAUGCGCAGAUAUCAGGAGGAACACCGAUGGCGAAGGCAGAUCUCUGGGCCGUAACUGACGCUGAGGAGCGAAAGGGUGGGGAGCAAACAGGCUUAGAUACCCUGGUAGUCCACCCCGUAAACGUUGGGAACUAGUUGUGGGGACCAUUCCACGGUUUCCGUGACGCAGCUAACGCAUUAAGUUCCCCGCCUGGGGAGUACGGCCGCAAGG